rnacentral:rRNA from 1 species
UACGAAGGGGGCUAGCGUUGUUCGGAAUUACUGGGCGUAAAGGGCGCGUAGGCGGUCCUUCAAGUCAGGCGUGAAAGCCCCGGGCUCAACCUGGGAACCGCGCUUGAGACUGGCGGGCUAGAGUUCGGGAGAGGAUGGUGGAAUUCCCAAUGUAGAGGUGAAAUUCGUAGAUAUUGGGAAGAACACCGAUGGCGAAGGCAGCCAUCUGGACCGACACUGACGCUGAGGCGCGAAAGCGUGGGGAGCAAACAGG